GGAGGAAAGUAGGGGAUCGUAAGACCUUGCGCUUUUGGAGCGGCCGAUGUCUGAUUAGCUAGUUGGUGAGGUAAAGGCUUACCAAGGCUUCGAUCAGUAGCUGGUCUGAGAGGACGACCAGCCACACUGGGACUGAGACACGGCCCAGACUCCUACGGGAGGCAGCAGUGGGGAAUUUUGGACAAUGGGGGCAACCCUGAUCCAGCCAUGCCGCGUGAGUGAAGAAGGCCUUCGGGUUGUAAAGCUCUUUCAGCCGGAACGAAACGGUCACGGUUAAUAACCGCGAUCACUGACGGUACCGGAAGAAGAAGCACCGGCUAACUACGUGCCAGCAGCCGCGGUAAUACGUAGGGUGCGAGCGUUAAUCGGAAUUACUGGGCGUAAAGCGUGCGCAGGCGGUUUUGUAAGUCAGAUGUGAAAUCCCCGGGCUUAACCUGGGAACUGCGUUUGAAACUACAAAGCUAG
rnacentral:rRNA from 1 species